AUUGAACGCUGGCGGCAGGCCUAACACAUGCAAGUCGAACGAGUGGCGGACGGGUGAGUAAUGUCUGGGAAACUGCCUGAUGGAGGGGGAUAACUACUGGAAACGGUAGCUAAUACCGCAUACCAUCGGAUGUGCCCAGAUGGGAUUAGCUAGUAGGUGGGGUAAAGGCUAACCUAGGCGAAGAUCCCUAGCUGGUCUGCGAGGAUGACCAGCCACACUGGACCUGAGACACGGUCCAGACGCCUACGGUAGGCAGCAGUGGGGAAUAUUUGACAAUGGGCGCAAGCCUGAUGCAGCCAUGCCGCGUGUAUGAAGAAGACCUUCGGGUUGUAAAGUACUUUCAGCGGGGAGGCGUUACCCGCAGGAGAAGCACCGGCUAACUCCGUGCCAGCAGCCGCGGUAGUAC
rnacentral:rRNA from 1 species